AUAGGACUAUAGGCGUAUAGGAGCAUAGAGGUAUAUGAGUAUAGGACUAUAGGAGUAUAGGAAUAUAAGUGUACAGAUGUAUAUGAGUAUAGGAGUAUAGGAAUAUAAGAGUAUAGAGGUAUAUCAGUAUAGGAGUAUAGGAGUAUAAGAGUAUAGAGGUAUAUCAGUAUAGGAGUAUAGGAAUAUAAGAGUAUAGAGGUAUAUGAGUAUAGAAGUAUAGGAGUAUAGAAGUAUAGAAGUAUUGGAGUAUAGGAAUAUAGGAGUGUAGAAGUAUAGUAGUAUAGGAGUAUAGAGGUAUAGGAGUAUAUGAGUAUAGUAGUAUAGGAGUAUAGGAAUAUAGGAGUGUAGAAGUAUAGUAGUAUAGAGGUAUAGGAGUAUAUGAGUAUAGUAGUAUAGGAGUAUAGGAGUAUAGAGGUAUAGGAGUAUAUGAGUAUAGGAGUAUAGGAAUAUAGGAGUGUAGAAGUAUAGUAGUAUAGGAGUAUAGAGGUAUAGGAGUAUAUGAGUAUAGUAGUAUAGGAGUAUAGGAAUAUAGGAGUGUAGAAGUAUAGUAGUAUAGAGGUAUAGGAGUAUAUGAGUAUAGUAGUAUAGGAGUAUAGGAGUAUAGAGGUAUAGGAGUAUAUGAGUAUAGGAGUAUAGGAAUAUAGGAGUGUAGAAGUAUAGUAGUAUAGGAGUAUAGAGGUAUAGGAGUAUAUGAGUAUAGUAGUAUAGGAGUAUAGAGGUAUAGGAGUAUAUGAGUAUAGUAGUAUAGUAGUAUAGGAGUAUAGAGGUAUAGGAGUAUAUGAGUAUAGUAGUAUAGGAGUAUAGGAAUAUAGGAGUGUAGAAGUAUAGGAGUAUAAGAGUAUAGAGGUAUAGGAGUAUAUGAGUAUAGUAGUAUAGUAGUAUAGGAGUAUAGAGGUAUAGGAGUAUAUGAGUAUAGUAGUAUAGGAGUAUAGAGGUAUAGGAGUAUAUGAGUAUAGUAGUAUAGUAGUAUAGGAGUAUAGAGGUAUAGGAGUAUAUGAGUAUAGUAGUAUAGGAGUAUAGGAAUAUAGGAGUGUAGAAGUAUAGGAGUAUAAGAGUAUAGAGGUAUAGGAGUAUAUGAGUAUAGUAGUAUAGUAGUAUAGGAGUAUAGAGGUAUAGGAGUAUAUGAGUAUAGUAGUAUAGGAGUAUAGAGGUAUAGGAGUAUAUGAGUAUAGUAGUAUAGGAGUAUAGGAGUAUAGGAGUAUUCUGCAGGCUGGUGUUUGGCGGGAGUGCAGCAGUACUUGGAUGCUGUUCGAGUUUCUGCUGAGCUUCAUCCAGAGUCUUUAGCAUUCCCUCAGUCAGCUCCUUCUGCUUCCC